rnacentral:rRNA from 2 species
GUCACACCCGUUCCCAUUCCGAACACGGCAGUUAAGCUCUUCAGCGCCGAUGGUAGUUGGGGGUUUCCCCCUGUGAGAGUAGGACGCCGCCAAGC